UUUUGGACAAUGGGCGCAAGCCUGAUCCAGCCAUGCCGCGUGAGUGAAGAAGGCCUUCGGGUUGUAAAGCUCUUUCGGCGGGGACGAAACGGUUCGGGCUAAUACCCCGGUCUACUGACGGUACCCGCAGAAGAAGCACCGGCUAACUACGUGCCAGCAGCCGCGGUAAUACGUAGGGUGCGAGCGUUAAUCGGAAUUACUGGGCGUAAAGCGUGCGCAGGCGGUUUCGUAAGCUGGAGGUGAAAUCCCCGUGCUCAACCUGGGAACUGCAUUUGUGACUGCAUAGCUGGAGUGCGGCAGAGGGGGAUGGAAUUCCGCGUGUAGCAGUGAAAUGCGUAGAUAUGCGGAGGAACACCGAUUGCGAAGGCAAUCCCCUGGGCCUGCACUGACGCUCAUGCACGAAA
rnacentral:rRNA from 1 species